AUAGAACGGGUAGGAGUAUUAAAUUUCGCUACACGUGAUUUAGGUAUACCACGGGGGAUACGAUAUUCGGUCCUUAAUCGGAUUUAAUAAUUAUUAGUGUAUACGGUGUCAUUAUCAAAUAGUAUUAUAGAGGUACCAUAGUUAUCUGUUAUUAUAAUUUAGGAAACUGAUGAUUAAGAGUUGACAACAAAAGGCUAUAGCUACAGACAUGGCUUCCUAUUCACCCAUCCUAAUCUCACCUACAGCUAUGUUUUGUCCCUCAUCGAUAAAUCGCAACGUUGGCGGU